rnacentral:lncRNA from 1 species
CUGGGUUUGUGACCUCUCUGAUUAAUGGAAUGUGGUGGAAGUGAUGCUGUAUGACUUCCAAACCUUUACCUGAAAAGAUCUUCUACCUUCUACCCUUGCUGCCUUGGAACCUGGGACCACCAUGCUGUGAAGACUCCAGGGACAUGAGGCCAUGUGGAGAGAGUCCCAACCAUUACAACCAUCCCAGCCAUUUAGCCUGAUCCCCCACACUGAGUCUGUUAUUGGUGUUCUUGUAAUCUCCCAGGAUAGAAAUCAAGAGAGAUCACCAGCCACAGCAGCAAAGAAAAAGAGAAAGCUUCAUUUAGCUGGUGCACAGGGAAAGGCAGCACCAUGGAAGUAGUUAACAGUUCUGCAGAACAUUUUAGAAAUGGUAACAUAAGUAUAAACAACAAAACAGUGAGAUUCUGAUACCAACUUCCAGUUCCUCCUCACCAAGACUUCGUGAAAACUCUUCAGCUCAUCUGGCAAAACAAACAGGCAAAGACGCAGAUACCAGGACACUUCCUUUUGAACACUUGGCUGCAGAAGCUAAGAGACAUGGGAUACGCGAAUUGAUUCUUACAUAAUAUGAGAGAUAUAGGUGAGUCAAAAGACUGCAGAACUUCCAAUUUUAUCUCCUCAGCCAGUUAUUAACCACUCAUUUUUUGAAAGUCCAACAUUAAAUGGAUACCAAAAACCUAGUUUCAUUUAUUUUGCUCUGAAUGACAUUUUAUAAGUUUAAAGUUCUCUAGCUUCAA